UCAUGCAUCGGGGCUCUGCACUCCUCACCAGCACUCCUGGGACCUCCACACUGGACCUGGGAACCUGCAGGGAUCCUUUCUCCACCUCCAUCCCCACAGCCAUGAGCCCUACUCUGGUGCCCUUUACCAUCAACCUCACCAUCAAGAACUUGCAGUCCAUGCCAGAUAUGGACUGUCCCGGAUCCCUCAGGUUCAACAUAAUCAAGGUGAUCUUGCAG